GCCCUGGUAGCUCAAUGGACAGAGCAAAGCACUCCUAAGGCUGAGGUUGCAGGUUCGAUUCCUGCCCAGGGCA
rnacentral:tRNA from 1 species